GACGAACGCUGGCGGCGUGCUUAACACAUGCAAGUCGAACGGAAAGGCCCUGCUUUUGUGGGGUGCUCGAGUGGCGAACGAGUGAGUAACACGUGAGUAACCUGCCCUUGACUUUGGGAUAACUUCAGGAAACUGGGGCUAAUACCGGAUAGGAGCUCCUGCUGCAUGGUGGGGGUUGGAACGUUUCGGCGGUUGGGGAUGGACUCGCGGCCUAUCAGCUUGUUGGUGGGGUAGUGGCUUACCAAGGCUUUGACGGGUAGCCGGCCUGAGAGGGUGACCGGCCACAUUGGGACUGAGAUACGGACCAGACUCCUACGGGAGGCAGCAGUGGGGAAUAUUGCACAAUGGGCGGAAGCCUGAUGCAGAAACGCCGCGUGCGGGAUGACGGCCUUCGGGUUGUAAACCGCUUUCGCCUGUGACGAAGCGUGAGUGACGGUAAUGGGUAAAGAAGCACCGGCUAACUACGUG
rnacentral:rRNA from 1 species